CUUUCUUUGUAAGCAGUUGUUAAUUGUUAUGCCUUUCUUAAUGGCCAUGUACUGUCGUGUUUUGUAGUGGAUUAGUUAACAAAACAUGAAUAACAUCUAGGUACAAUUCUUUAAAAUUUCGCAGUAUUUAAUUACCAUUGUGAAGAUAAACCUACAGGUGAUUGGGCAGAUGAAACGGCACCUGGUAUAUGUAGACGUCGUCAAAGACUACAUACGUGGUAUUUCCAACUUAUGUAGGCCUUAACAUUCAGUAAAUCACGAUUUCAAAUCCAAUUCAGAGAACAUACGACAACUUACUGGCUGUUUAAAUAUCCGUUAUUUGUAUCACGGAUUUGACAUUCGCCUUUUGCUUCUAGGGAAUAGCAAACACUUAACAUGACUUUAACAUAUUACAUGUAUUUACAAGGAUGUUAGAACAAAACUAAAAUAAAAAACUAUCAUAAUGAAACAUAUAAGCGAU